GACGAACGCUGGCGGCGUGCUUAACACAUGCAAGUCGAACGGUGAAGGGGCCUGCUUUUGUGGGCCCUGGAUGAGUGGCGAACGGGUGAGUAACACGUGAGUAACCUGCCCCCUUCUUCUGGAUAACCGCAUGAAAGUGUGGCUAAUACGGGAUAUUCUGGGUCUGUCGCAUGCUGGGUCUGGGAAAGUUUGCGCCUUUGGGUGUUUUUGGUGGGGGAUGGGCUCGCGGCCUAUCAGCUUGUUGGUGGGGUGAUGGCCUACCAAGGCGGUGACGGGUAGCCGGCCUGAGAGAGUGGACGGUCACACUGGGACUGAGACACGGCCCAGACUCCUACGGGAGGCAGCAGUGGGGAAUACUGCACAAUGGGCGCAAGCCUGAUGCAGCGACGCCGCGUGAGGGAGGGAGGCCUUCGGGAUGUAAACCUCUUUCGACAGUGAAGCAGGCCUGCUCCGUGUGGGUGGGUUGACGGUAGCUGGAUAAGAAGCGCCGGCUAACUACGUG
rnacentral:rRNA from 1 species